rnacentral:lncRNA from 1 species
GUGGGAUCUGCAGCUCCUGAAAGAGUCCUUGCCAGUUAUUGCUGAGGCGCACAGGAGCAGAGCUAAAACGUUGCAGCCAUUUGAAUUUAAAAAUGCAUGUGAUUUAUGUACAAGCCAAGAGAGCCGUCUUAGUCCAGCUUAUGAGAGGGCUCCUUAGGGACCCUGCGGAGAUAAGCCAGGUAUAAAAGGCUUCUUGCUGAAGUGCUAAGAGUCCUGGGUAUUGGAACGAGGACUGGACCCACUCAACACAGGCUUAGGGAAGAGUGUACCCCCAUGACCAAACAAUGGCUCCUCUUGCGAUAAACUAGGCAUCGGUUACCCUGCCCUGAAGUCCUGUGUCCUCUCUUCUAGCCCACAGUUCCUGCUGUCUCACCUGAAAGCUUGACCUUCCUUAGCUUUAUGACCAGCAGUGACAACUGUCUUCAGACAACACAGAGCAGGCAGGCCCCUGCUCCUGCUGGGUGUGUGAUGCUCCACCCAGCAAAGAACUGAUGAAUUCCACAAGCUGUUUCUUUCUGGAAUGCACAUCUCUCAGGCCACCUGAACAGCUCCCUGAGAACCAAGAAUCUUUGAUGCGAAAUCCAGGUGGCUCACUUCCUGGCUCUGUAAAAAUUUCCUCCUUUGCCAAAGAACUCCAGAUGACCCCAGAGUGCUCUGGGAUUUAGCAGGGUGCUGCUCAUCUUAAUUAAUUGUUAUUAUUAGCAUGAUUGCUUGGGUAACCCAGAAGCCCUGCUACAAUGAGAUUGCUCUAUGAGUGACCAACUAAACAUACUGAGGCUAAGACCAUCAAACUGCAGCAGGAAUGUCAAAAGCCUGGACCCAGCAGACCCGAACUACAGAGGAGGGGUCCGCAGCCUCUGCAGGGGAUUGCCUCCAUCGACCAUUGUCGCUGACUUUCUUCCUUGCUGCUUUCUUCUCACACAGAAGGAUGCAAGUUCCUACUCUCCAUAAGAUGCUUAAAAGAAAAUAGGUGAAGCUACCAGGGCAAGUAACAUGGAUGAUUGUGCUUGCAUUUAAGCACAAGGACCCAACUUGGAUCCCUAAAGUCACAUGAAACAGUUAAGUGUGUGUGGUGGUAUGACUAGGUUUGGCCUCCGUAGACUCGUGUGUUUGAAUGCUUGGCCCAUGGGAAGUGGCAGUGUUAGGAAGUAUGGCCUUGUUAGGGUAGGUGUGACCUUGUUAGAGGAAGUGCAUCACUGUGGGGUGGGCUUUGAGGUCUCCUCCUAGCAGGCUCUACCCAGAGCAAAUGAUAAACUCCUCUUGGCUGUACCAUGUCUACCUGCACGCUGCCAUGCUUCCUACCAUGAUGACAAUGGACUGAACCUCUGAAACUAUAAUCCAGCUCCAACUAAAUGUUUUCCUUUAUAAGAGUUGUCUUGGUCAUGGUGUCUCUUCACAGCAAUGGAAAUCCUAACUAAGAGAGUGUGGAAACAUAUGUUUGAAAUCUCAUAGCUGGGAAGGUGGAGUCAGGUAGACACCUGGUAUUUGGUGACCAGCCAGUGUUACCUGUUUGGUGAGCCCCAAAACUCAUUGCAAGACUCUUGUCUGAAAAAAAAAUACUUAAAUGACACACAAGGUUGACUUUAGCUUUUAUAUAUGUCUGCAGGCAUAUACAUACACACUAAACUCCACCCCUCUACACACACACCCUAGCACACACAAACCUAUCAAUGAGUGAAGAUAAACUAAUAUUGACUCAAAACUUAAGUCAUCAUAAAUGAGGAGCACGGCGAUAUAUCAUAGAGCAUUUCUAGUAUUUCUUUGUUUGUUUGUUGUUAUUGUUUAUGGCUAGAAAUGGUUGUAGUGAGGUAAGAUGAACAACAGGGGAAGUUGCUGAAGGAAGGGAGAAGACAGUAGGUCUUAUUGUCUGAGCUACCACACUUUUUGCUGUUAUAACAAUAUUAUAAACAAAAGGAGUUAGCUCAUGGUUCUAGAAGUUGGAAAAUUCAAG